ACUCCUACGGGAGGCAGCAGUGGGGAAUAUUGGACAAUGGGCGAAAGCCUGAUCCAGCCAUGCCGCGUGUGUGAAGAAGGUCUUCGGAUUGUAAAGCACUUUAAGUUGGGAGGAAGGGCAGUAAGUUAAUACCUUGCUGUUUUGACGUUACCAACAGAAUAAGCACCGGCUAACUUCGUGCCAGCAGCCGCGGUAAUACGAAGGGUGCAAGCGUUAAUCGGAAUUACUGGGCGUAAAGCGCGCGUAGGUGGUUCAGCAAGUUGGAUGUGAAAUCCCCCGGGCUCAACCUGGGGAACUGCAUCCAAAACUACUGAGCUAGAGUACGGUAGAGGGUGGUGGAAUUUCCUGUGUAGCGGUGAAAUGCGUAGAUAUAGGAAGGAACACCAGUGGCG
rnacentral:rRNA from 1 species